CGGCGGACGGGUGAGUAAUGCCUAGGAAUCUGCCUGGUAGUGGGGGACAACGUUUCGAAAGGAACGCUAAUACCGCAUACGUCCUACGGGAGAAAGCAGGGGACCUUCGGGCCUUGCGCUAUCAGAUGAGCCUAGGUCGGAUUAGCUAGUUGGUGAGGUAAUGGCUCNCCAAGGCGACGAUCCGUAACUGGUCUGAGAGGAUGAUCAGUCACACUGGAACUGAGACACGGUCCAGACUCCUACGGGAGGCAGCAGAC
rnacentral:rRNA from 1 species